AGGAAUAUUGGGCAAUGGAGGCAACUCUGACCCAGCCAUGCCGCGUGAGUGAAGAAGGUUUUCGGGUUGUAAAGCUCUUUCGGAUGUGACGAUGAUGACGGUAGCAUCUAAAGAAGCCCCGGCUAACUUCGUGCCAGCAGCCGCGGUAAUACGAAGGGGGCGAGCGUUGUUCGGAAUUACUGGGCGUAAAGGGUGUGUAGGCGGUUAUGUAAGAUAGCGGUGAAAUCCCGGGGCUUAACCUCGGAAUAGCCGUUAUAACUAUGUAGCUAGAGUUAUGGAGAGGAUAGCGGAAUACCCAGUGUAGAGGUGAAAUUCGUAGAUAUUGGGUAGAACACCGGUGGCGAAGGCGGCUAUCUGGCCAUAUACUGACGCUGAGGCACGAAAGCAUGGGGAUCAAACAGGAUUAGAUACCCUGGUAGUCCACGCUGUAAACGAUGAAUGCUGGUUGUCGGCUUUAGGGUCGGUGACGAAGUUAACGCGAUAAGCAUUCCGCCUGGGGAGUACGGUCGCAAGAUUAAAACUCAAAGGAAUUGACGGGGACCCGCACAAGCGGUGGAGCAUGUGGUUUAAUUCGAUGCAACGCGAAGAACCUUACCAACUCUUGACAUCCUUAUCGGGGGGCGCAGAGAUGAGCCCUUUCAGUUAGGCUGGAUAAGUGACAGAUGCUGCAUGGCUGUCGUCAGCUCGUGUCGUGAGAUGUUGGGUUAAGUCCCGCAACGAGCGCAACCCCUGCUAUCAGUUGCCAGCGAGUAAAGUUGGGCACUCUGAUAGGACUGCCGGUGACAAGCCGGAGGAAGGUGGGGAUGACGUCAAGUCAUCAUGGCUCUUACGAGUUGGGCUACACACGUGCUACAAUGGUAACUACAGAGGGGAGCGAGACCGCGAGGUUGAGCCAAUCUUAAAAAGUUAUCUCAGUUCGGAUUGUUCUCUGCAACUCGAGAACAUGAAGUUGGAAUCGCUAGUAAUCGCGGAUCAGCAUGCCGCGGUGAAUACGUUCCCG
rnacentral:rRNA from 1 species